rnacentral:rRNA from 1 species
GACGAACGCUGGCGGCGUGCCUAAUACAUGCAAGUAGAACGCUGAAGGAGGAGCUUGCUUCUCUGGAUGAGUUGCGAACGGGUGAGUAACGCGUAGGUAACCUGCCUGGUAGCGGGGGAUAACUAUUGGAAACGAUAGCUAAUACCGCAUAAUAGCAGUUGUUGCAUGACAACUGUUUGAAAGGUGCAAUUGCACCACUACCAGAUGGACCUGCGUUGUAUUAGCUAGUUGGUGGGGUAACGGCUCACCAAGGCGACGAUACAUAGCCGACCUGAGAGGGUGAUCGGCCACACUGGGACUGAGACACGGCCCAGACUCCUACGGGAGGCAGCAGUAGGGAAUCUUCGGCAAUGGACGGAAGUCCGACCGAGCAACGCCGCGUGAGUGAAGAAGGUUUUCGGAUCGUAAAGCUCGGUUGUAAGAGAAGAACGAGUGUGAGAGUGGAAAGUUCACACUGUGACGGUAUCUUACCAGAAAGGGACGGCUAACUACGUG